rnacentral:rRNA from 1 species
CGUGGGUAACCUGCCCAAGAGAUCGGGAUAACACCUGGAAACAGAUGCUAAUACCGGAUAACAACAGAUGAUGCCUAUCAACUGUUUAAAAGAUGGUUCUGCUAUCACUCUUGGAUGGACCUGCGGUGCAUUAGCUAGUUGGUAGGGUAACGGCCUACCAAGGCGAUGAUGCAUAGCCGAGUUGAGGGACUGAUCGGCCACAUUGGGACUGAGACACGGCCCAAACUCCUACGGGAGGCAGCAGCG